UACGUAGGGGGCAAGCGUUGUCCGGAAUCAUUGGGCGUAAAGCGCAUGUAGGCGGUUGGAUAAGUCCGUUGUUAAAGCCCCUGGCUCAACUGGGGGAGGUCAAUGGAGACUAUUCGACUUGAGGGCAACAGAGGCACAUGGAACUCCCGGUGUAGCGGUGGAAUGCGUAGAGAUCGGGAAGAACACCCGUGGCGAAGGCGGUGUGCUGGGUUGCAACUGAACGGCUGAGAUGCGAAAAGUGUGGGGGAGCAA
rnacentral:rRNA from 1 species